rfam:Geobacter sp. FRC-32, complete genome.
UGCUCGAACUUUCUCCGAGCCUGUCCGCCUACCGGGAAUAUUCCCCAUGGUGUCAGGCCUGUGGGCUCUGCUGGAAACGGCAGGACCUUCCUUUGAAAAGGAGAACCUCUCGCCACGCU